GCCGGAGUAGCCAAGUGGCAAAGGCGUGGGCCCUGGGAACCCAUGGAUGUAAAUCCUUUGGGGGUUCGAUUCCCCCCUCCGGCA
rnacentral:tRNA from 1 species